GGAAGGGUGUCAGAGUGGUCGAAUGUGCCCGCUUGGAAAGCGAGUGUGCGAUGAGCACCGCAGGUUCAAAUCCUGUCCCUUCCGCCA
rnacentral:tRNA from 1 species